rnacentral:tRNA from 2 species
GCCCGGGUGGCGGAAUGGCAGACGCGACGGAUUCAAAAUCCGUUGGGGGGUGACCCCCGUGGGAGUUCGACUCUCCCCCUGGGCA